rnacentral:misc_RNA from 1 species
GGCCUAUAUAGACAACAACGCAUCUUUUUCCAUGUAAAUAGAUAUAAUCUAAUACUACUCCCUUGAAGACGGUUAUAUAUACAACUCAAAUGCUUACUAUAUCAUCUUCUAAAUCGAGAUCCCUUGUUUGAUCUACCGCCACCAUUGUUCCUUCCAUCCCAUGCAGAAGCCCAGAAGAAUAGAGACAUCCAGAAAAGAACAGCUAAGAAGAUCUGAACACGGUCCUGAAGUCUAGACAAAGUUCCAAAAAUGCCUCUGGGACGAACAGGGUCCUUUUCGGGUGGCGGGUCGGACUGUGGAGCCGGUUGGGGCGACAACGCGGCGUGGAGGCGGCAUGGGUGUGAGUUGGAAUUGGAGCGAAGCGACAGAAACUGGAACUGGGAAUUAAUCGGGAUAAGAGAAGGAGACUGAAAAUUUUUGGCAUUUAACUUUGGAAAGGCUUGCGGUGGUGGUUGCGCAGAACGGGCUGUAGUUGCCGGAGAGAGAAUUGCCAUUUUUGAGGAAGGGGGAAAAUUUGAAGCAGUGUAUUGGGAAUC